GCUACCCUAAAGAAAACCGCUCUGGACUGCCGUACGUUGAUUGGCUGGUGCAGUUGUUGAUCUGACAUCACAGCUUCCUUGAUUCUAUGAGCUACAAAAUGGCUAACUUUUAAGAAGAAGUCUGGAAUAAUUUCCAUUGAAGCUCAGCCCACUUGCUUGUCAGUCUUGCUUUGUGACAAUAUCUGCCAGGAGUUGCCUAUGCAAUCAAACCUUUAAAAGGAAAAAAUAAAAGUCUAAGAGAUAUUGAAACAUU